rnacentral:lncRNA from 1 species
CAUUGCACGAAAAUGAAAAAAAUAAAGUCCCAAUAAAAAUCCUCAGGAAAAGAUUGGGUAAGCAAAGGGACAGAUGACUUUAAACAGGGCAUUUUUGCCUUCAUUAUUUCAAAUGAGCAUUUGUUGUAUUGUCAGUGAAAUAUAAUAUAUGUACGUGACAUUGGCCACGAAGCGGAAAUUAUCAACCCUUACAGUAGUCGGUAUCGAAACUGGCGAAAGUAAUUUCCACAUACAUGCCAUAUCAUGAUAUUUAUAGUAUUAGAUACCACCGAAGCCGUAUUUAACAUAUCACAACGGUUCCAUUUGCUCUAUUCAUUGAAAUUAUACAAACAGUUUUAAUAUUUAUUUACAUUUAUUUUGUAACUGUUGUGUUUACUUUUCACGGUUGGAUUGAUAUUCAAACAAGUAAUAUGAGGCAGGCAUAACCUGUGAAUGGGGACGAAAUCUGUAUGUAUUAUUUUUUUAAUUCAAUCACGUUGAUAAAAGAAACCGAAAUACGGUACGUAACGUUCCCGAUUUUGAUUCUGUUGUUAGGGAAUUAGCUGUGACGUUCUUGAAGUUAUGACGUCAUAUUCGAUGUAAACAAAAGAAACGCUUUCAUCAGGUAACGUUUUUUCAUAUCAAACAAUUAUUAAAAUUGAAUUUGUAUUGAGAUCCAAUCUUAUAUUUUACUAGACUGAUAAAUAUAACGUCGCUGUUAUGCAAAAACCUCGUAUCUAAGGUUUUGAUAAUUUUACACCAGGCAGUAAAAUCUGAAAUCUUUUUUCGAUUAUUUAGAAUUUAAUGUAUUUCCGCUGUAUGCGAAAAUAUCUGAAUCUUCUAACCAUCAAUUACAAAGACGAGCAAUAAUUUCUGCACUAUAUUGUAUUUUCAUUAUUUUUAAGCUAAUAUAUUAGCUUUGAGAACCUAAAAUUGUAAACUUCCUGUAAUAAUGUCAGCUGCCGUGCAAAUUUUUUUCUUUUGAGAACGAUAUUUUUGCACAACAAAUGUCUCACCAUCCGACUAACUUUUUCGUCACAUGUCAGAAUCGGGUUGAAUGAUUGGUAGAAGGUCAGAUUUUUCGCAUAUAGUGGAACAUACAUAUUAAUCUAAAUAAGAUAAAAAGAUUUCCGCAAAAUAUUGAGAUACGAGGUUUUUGCAUAACAGCGACGAUAAAUUUUUUCAAAGUCUCAUGCAAACAAGACAGAUAUCUGCGCAAAAGCGGAGAAAACCGGAACAGGAAGUAGAUCUGAAAAAAAAGUUAACGAUUUUGAGUUCAUUAGUAGAAUGAAAAAUUCGGGAAAUUUUCCAAAUUUUUUUUUUUUUUUAUUGAUUUUUCUACCGUAAUUGGGGACUUCGUCCCCAUAUAAACAAAAAAUAGCAUGACAUAGAAGUUUCAAUAUUGAUAACAUAAUUUUGUUUGAUUCAGUUGUUUUUUAUUUCAAUAUAAACUUAUCAAGCUCUGGGUGAUCUACAAAUUAACAAUUGCAAUGUCAUGAUAGAAACAAACAAAAAGCUUCAUUUAAAUUGUAAUUUCAAAUUCAUGAUUAUAGCAUUCAAAAUGGUUUGUUUAGUAUAAAUUAACAAAAAUGAAACAUUAUAUUUAAGUAAAAAUUCAUGGGAGCUUAAAUAUAUCAGGAUUUUACCACGGGUUGAGCAUGUUAAGCCCUUUAUGACAAAUAUUUUACCCUGAGCGAUCGACAUAUUGGACAACCCGUGGUAAAAUCACGAUAUAUUAAAGCUCUUAUGAAUUAUUUUGAUUCUAAUAGGACAAAGAAGGCAAUCUUUUAGACCGAAGCGCUCUAGUUGGAGGCAAAUAUUUGCUGUUUCCAUAGAUAAACACAUUUUUAAGUUGGCAUAAAAGAACGGAGCAAACUAAAAUAGUGACAUGCUUAAACUAUUUACAAUAACGUAUUUAGAUAGUUGUGAAUGCAUUUGAGUGAUAAUUUACGUAUAUGUCUUAUUUGUUUAAAAAAAAUGGCCUAUACCCAGAGAUGCAAACAGUUUUUUUUUCCUGUCAGACAAUGGGGCCUACAGGGUACCAAGUUUUGCCAGACCAUCAAUUUCUGCCAGACCCAUAUUUCAUCCAAAUCAAUGAAAUAUGCUAUUGACCAAACGUUAUUUUGACCGCUUUACAGCUUUAUCAACUUGAAUAGGUGACUGGUUGGUCUUUUACCGGGUUCGACCACUUAAGAAUUUUAUCGCCAUGACAUUUUCCUGAACUUAUCACUAUGCUUAAUAGCCUCCUUCUAGAGAGCGAAUUUCUAAAAACAAAAAACAUGACGGAAAUACGGAGAAUUGUUCGGGGCGAGAUGGACAAGGUACGAAAAGACUAUACUGGGCGGAAAUACUGGUUCCCGGAGUUAAAAAUGCGGGGAGAAGGACAUUUACUUUUAUUUAAAGAUGAUCGCAAUUUUAUAAAAACAAAAUACUCUGCCGGGGCGACAGGAUUUCAGUUUUGGCGACCCAAGCGGACUUAAUAUUGCGCCAUCAGUCCUGCACAGCUACAGUUUGCCGACCUGCAUAAAUUCUGCCCCUUAGGUCCGACAGGUCCGACGAUUAGUUGCAUCUCUGUAUAAUACCACAUUCUAGCAUUCAUUAAGUUUUUUUACAAGCAUGUAUUUUCCCGUAAAAUGCUUAUAUUCUUCUGUUAUCGUUCUAUAACGUCAGGUACCUCAUUCAUAAAAAAAUCAUAAGACGUGGGAGUACGAUCCGAACAGCCCAAGCAAAUUUUACCACAGGUGUGUACUCAAAGCGUUUGAAGAACAUCAUGUUAGAAUCUUAGUUAAACUAAAUGGUCUGAGAAAUUAUAGCACCAUACAUGUAAACCUCCCGACUGGAGUACAUAAAUCCUGUUUUCAGGGGUCUCCUCCUGUCCUCCCGUAAAGGAGACAAAAAUCCUGUGUAUGAAAUAUUUCAUGAAUGAAAAUUUUCAACAGCCAUUUUUGAUAAUUUCUUACUGUUGUAAACAGGCGUAAUUGACACCUGUGUUAAAUUUACCUGUAAAUCAAAGAAGAUGUAUAAUAAUAUGGCUUCACUUGACAGCUUGGGUGUCCAAACAUACUGGUAAUCAACAAUGUUUACCUCUGGCUAUCUGCCAUUGUGUAAUAAAACUUUGUGUAUUGAAAAAUAAUUGUUACUUCCUUUUGAUUUAUCCUGUUUUAAGAUAUUUUACUUUCAAAAAUGUAAAUUGUAAAUAAAUGAAUCAUAUUGUAAUCAAAUAAGCAUAUAAGGAAGGUAAUAAAAUGAAUUUAAAUGUAUUAAGACAUAAAAAAAAAAAUAUAAAUUUAUAAAUUAUUUUAGGAAUCUAGACUUCUUUUCAAGGAUUAAAUCAAAAUUUAUAAAGUAAGUCUGACCUGAACAGUUUUUCCUUGAGAGAUACAGCUAGUGUUUACAAUCUAGACUGAAUAAUAAUACUAUUAUUAUCUAGUAUUUUAGAAACAUAGGACUUUCAUAAUGCUUAAAAUCCACACAAUACUGUUGUUAUUGUUUGUUAUUAUAUUAAUUAAUAAUUAUCAUGAUAUAAAUAUAUAUGUAUACCAAUUGAUAUUUUAUUGUGUGUUUUUCUAUAUUGUGAUGUUAUGCUAUUGUUUCAGAAAAAGGGAGAAGGUUUGGAUCCAUUAAAACAUUUAAUCCCGCUGCAAAUGUUUGCACCUGUCCUAAGUCAGGAAUCUGUUGUACAGUAGUUGUCAUUUGUUUAUGUAAUUUUAUAUAGAUUAGACCGUUGGUUUUCCCGUUUGAAUGGUUUUACACUAGUAAUUUUGAGGCCCUUUAUAGCUUGUUGUUCGUGAGCCAAGGCUCCGAUGUUGAAGGCCGUACAUUGAUCUAUAAUGGUUUACUUUUUUAAAUUGUUAUUUGGAUGGAGAGUUGUCUCAUUGGCACUCACACCACAUCUUCCUAUAUCUAUAGCAUAUUUCUUUCUUAUUUGUCUAUACAUAUACCAAUGAUAAUUAUAAGGAGAUAGAGACAUGAUUACAAAUAUAUACACAAAGAAAAGGUCACUAUGAUUUAUUUGCAAGCAGUGAACAAUCAAUUAUCAAAAACAAAACAAGAAACAGAUUCUUCACAAUAUUUUUUUUGAUAAUAUGAUAUCAUUUAAAUAGAAAGGCAACAAAGGUACUAUAAUUAUAUAAACUUAUAACAUUCUGAUGGAAAUUUGAAGAAAAAAAAACACUUUACAAAACAAUUUCUACAUCAUACGGUUACAUUUACGACAAAAAUUAUGUUGAUAUAAAACCUCCUGAUCUGAGUCCUAAUCUCCUGACCAUAAUUUCACAAUCUCCUGAUCUGAGUUUCACAGUCCAUCACUUGUAUGUAGUACUUUCAAAAUUUAAUUAGAUUAUGCUGAUUUUUCAAUUUAAUUAACAUGUUCAAUGAUGUUUCAAGACAAGAAAACAUUUUUAACCAGCCUGUAAAUUUUGUGUUUACAGGAAAAUAAUGUUUUUUUGUCAUAGAUUGAUUUAAGCAUAGAAAUUCCAAAUUGGGAUGAAAAUUCCCAAUCUUCUGAUGGUCAACGGACCCAUUUGAAAAAACUUGGAAUCAUUCCUGGUUUUUAUCCAGGAAUAGUCCAUUUGCCAAUUACCAAUUUGAUUCUGUUAUUACACACUUUUUAAACAAAUUACUUCCCUUUGUCAAUCAUAGACUGGUUCCAUACCGGACAAAAUUUGUCUUUGCCAAUGCAAAGCAUGGUAAGUUAUAAGUUUAACUCAUUUUUCAUGAAAAAUAACCUGUAGUAUUUAGCUAAACAACAAAUUAAUGUAAUUAACAGAUUUGAAAAACUGAAAGGUUACUCACAUUACGCACAGGUAUAUUUGUUCUUUCCCCUAGCUCUCUAUUGUCGAUAAGAUUUAUGUCCCUCAUAAGGGAGACAACAAAAAAAGGGAUCUCUGAUUACAGGGUCAAUUAUGGGAAUUGGCAAAUAGGCUAUUACAUGUAUCUAUUAAAAUGAAAAUUCCACCCCUUCUGCAAAAUAUGAUUCCAAACUGGUGGUGUGUGUGUGUUGAGGAGGCUUGCACUGCUUACAAUGAUUUUACAUACAGUAUUCCAGCUAGAAAAUGAGUACUGAGCUAGGGGCACAGUCUUUGUACAUGUAAAGCUUCAUGUUGAUCAGAGUUAUAUAUACUUUCUUAGAGAAAAAAGGCUUAUUAUUUUAAGAAUGCAUAUUUGAUUUUUAUGUAUAUUUCAGAUACACAAUACAAUAUUGUAUGUGACGCAUCAUAAAUAAGAACCCAAACAAUGGCUGACAUGCAGGCUGUCCAAAAAGCCUACUUAUUGGCUCUCACGGAGGGAAACCAAGAUCCAGCUAUGUAUAUACAGACACUUAUACAUGCAGACUGUCAGCUGACACUUAAAUACAUGUCAAUCAAUAUGGAAAAUUUAAUUGAGCUUAAUAGUCAGGUAA